GCCACAUUCAUGAGGACCACCACCUUGAAUCUUCCUGAAACUUAACUGUGGAUGUUCUUACAAUUUCUCAGUGGCUGAACCAUUUGGCCAAAGAACUGUGCCAACUCUACUCCAAUCAGCUACAAAGAUGGAGGGAUAUUUCCUACAGCUAAAAUAAUCAGGAUGUUGCAGGCAACUUGAGAGUAAAGCAAGAAAGAAUUUAUUUUUCUAUAAAUUCUUCCACAGAUAUAUGAUAGAACAUCCUACCCACAUUGCAAUCAUGACAUAGAUGUAAACUGACAAGGAGGAAACUCAGAAUAUAUUAAGUGAAGAAAGCAGACGUUGGGAAACUGGCCCCUUCGCUGGAGAGUGGAGGUGCACAGUAAUUGUCCUGGCAGUUACAAGUAAAAGUGUGUGAUGCACCUCCAGGUCCAUAUGCCAAGGAAGUAAAGCACAUCCUAGCUAUUUUGUAUGGUCACAAAAUCGUUAUUGUGACAUUGUUGAGAAGAAGAAAGCUUAUGCUUAGAGGCACUGAGUACCACGCACAUUCACAGAGAAUAACAGAGUGAGAAGCACAUGCAUUCUUCAAAUAUUUAACAACAUUUCUUCUGAGAUUAAUUAUUAACCCAAAGGACACCAGCCUACAGCUCCACUGGUAGUGAUUUAUUUUCACAAAUUGAGGAGAAAUAAAACAACCUCACAGAAUAUGUUGA
rnacentral:lncRNA from 1 species